AAAGCUGGAGCUAUGAAUCUAAGCUUAGCCCUUUUUACUGCUUUAUUCCUUAUUCUUUUUAGGGAACACUAAUAUAACGUGAUCAUGAAUUCAUAAGCUUCCCACACAGUGGAGUAUCCCUGGUCUUAUAACUUUCUGAGCUCCAUAAAGAGAAAUGGCAAAGUAAUAGUGUUAAUAAGGCAAAUUCAAAGCCAGAUUCAUAGGGUGAUUUGUGCUUUUUAUUUCUAAGCUGUGUUUUAUCUCUAUCUCUACUCUCUACCACCUAAAAGAACCGUAAGGUUCCGUUUUCCCUCAUACGCCCUUCGUUUCGUCCGCCUUCGUCCAUCGUCGAUUAAGUUUUUUUUUUUCACGCGCAAUCGUCCCUGCCGAAAACGUCGGGAUGCAAUCCCAUCUAGCACCGAUCCACUCCGUCCUGACAGGCUCGGCGCUGCCUCCUCCCCUCCCAAGCACAGCCGCCGCUACACACCCCAUCAGAGUACACCUCCCAUACCCCCUCUCUCUCUUGGAGCCGCCGCCGCUCCCCAUCCACCCGGCGUGCAUCGGAUCGACCUUGUUCCCUCUCCUUGCAACGUGGGAUAUGGAAGGGGUCGCCUGUCGGGCACCAAUCUGAUGGGGGCGUGGUCAUCUACCUCCUCCUCUCUCCCCACGUUGGUCCAGCCUGUCUUCUCUACCAGAUCUGGCGGCCGCGUCGGCGAAACUGCUGGCAGUGAGACGGUUCGCGGGUGUGCGAUAGAAAACAUCGGCCGGUCGUCUUCGAGUCCGCCUACCACGGCGAUCCCGCAGUACAGCCUCCCCGCCUCCAAGAUGUGGCCUGGACAAGGCCGUCUUCUCCUUUCCUCCGUGGCGUCCAAUGAAGAGCUACACCAACGUGGCACCACAUGUGUGUUGUACCUUCGCCCCGCGGCCCUUCUGUGCUGGGAUGAGGCAGCGUUUGUCUGUAGCACUCCAUGUCCCACAUCAACAUUCCUUUCUUACUUAGUGUUGUACAAGUGAUGCAAUCAGGAUUUGCUGGUUUUUGAACAUAUCCCUGAUGGAGUGAAAGGGACGGAAGAAUUGGAAAUACAAUGAGGUAAUAUUUCUGUACAGGAUAAUUGCUUGAGUUUUUUCCUCUUCUCUAAUCAAGUCGAUUGCUGUGUUACAAGGUACGUAGAUGGUUACAGGUGCAGCUACAUCUGAAAAUUUCAUUCUUAAACGUCAAAUAAAGCAACCAAAUAUUUAAUUUGUUCCCUAAUGAUCAUAUUUGGUGUUAUUUCUUUAGGAUGGUGCAUGGAGAACAUGCUCUGUUGCCAUCUUCAUCCGCGAAUUGGCUCCCAAAUCUAAAAGGUGUGGUUGCCGAAACAUGAGUCUAACAAGGCGCGGCUGCUGAACCAGGAGAACCGCAGACCUGGUCACAAUGAAUGAGUUUGAGACAAACCUUGUGUCAUGUGUUAUCGCACUCAGAUAUCGGAGCCUUGGAGAAUGUAAAAGAAAUGUUAAACGGGUAGAUGUGGCCCCUCUAAACUUACCUGAAUUGUUCAGCAAAGGUCCGCAAUUAAUGGUACCCAUCUACAUUCAGUAGGGCGAGUUGGUCUUGCUAUAUUGCAUUCAGGCAUAGUGUUGAUAUUUCAUCAAAAAUAAGUUCAAGCAUGAUAUUUAAGAUCAA